rnacentral:rRNA from 1 species
GAUGAACGCUGGCGGCGUGCUUAACACAUGCAAGUCGAACGGUGAAGGCGGAGCUUGCUCUGCUGGAUCAGUGGCGAACGGGUGAGUAACACGUGAGCAAUCUGCCCCUGACUCUGGGAUAAGCGCUGGAAACGGCGUCUAAUACUGGAUACGAGCUGCGAAGGCAUCUUCAGCAGCUGGAAAGAACUUCGGUCAGGGAUGAGCUCGCGGCCUAUCAGCUUGUUGGUGAGGUAACGGCUCACCAAGGCGUCGACGGGUAGCCGGCCUGAGAGGGUGACCGGCCACACUGGGACUGAGACACGGCCCAGACUCCUACGGGAGGCAGCAGUGGGGAAUAUUGCACAAUGGGCGGAAGCCUGAUGCAGCAACGCCGCGUGAGGGACGACGGCCUUCGGGUUGUAAACCGCUUUUAGCAGGGAAGAAGCGAAAGUGACGGUACCUGCAGAAGAAGCGCCGGCUAACUACGUG